AUGAGGGAUCUAGAAGCGCCCUCGCUGGUGAGGCUGCCGGAGCGCGUGGUGCUGGAGAUCCUCGCGCGCGUGCCCGGCGUCGCCGACCUCUUCCGCUGCGCGGCCGCGCGCAAGCGCUGGCGCGACCUCGUCACCGAGCCGUCCUUCCUGCGCCGCUGGCCGGAGGGCGCGUGCCACUUCUGCUCCCUCGUCGGCUUCCUCGGACGGGAGCGGCGCCGCGGCGGGGAAGGGCUGCCGGGCUCCAGCUUCAUCCGCGCGCCGGGGUCGGUGCUCGGCCCCGGCCGCCCCCUGCUCGGCUCCUUCAUCCCUGGCGCCGCCGGCCUCCUCGACGACCGCGUCAUGCCUCUCGCCUCGCACCGCGGCGUGCUCCUCGUGCGCUUCGGCGCCGGCGCCGAGACGGAGGCGGAGCCAGAGCCCGGCGUCGACCGCCUUGCCGUGUGCAACCUGCUCUCGGGCGCGUGCCACGUACUCCCCCCGCUGCGCUGCGACUGGUUCUUCGACUACUUUGGCAUGAGCGCCCACGCCGUCCUCAUUGGCGCAGACUGUUGCCCCGACGACGGCCAGCAGCAACCGCUAGACCCGGCCUCCUUCAAGGUGCCGGUCAUCGGCGUCAGCGACGACCGGCGGUACUACGUUCUCCUCCGGUGA
rnacentral:rRNA from 1 species